GAUGAAGAACGUAGCGAAAUGCGAUAAGUAAUGUGAAUUGCAGAAUUCAGUGAAUCAUCGAAUCUUUGAGCGCACCUUGCGCCCUUUGGCUAUUCUGAAGGGCAUGCCUGUUUGAGUAUCGUGAACACCUCAACUCUCAUGGUCUGCCAUGAUGAGCUUGGACUUUGGGGGUCUUGCUGGCCUACUGUCAGCUCCUCUCAAAUGAAUCAGCUUACCAGUGUUUGGUGGCACCACAGGUGUGAUAACUAUCUACGCUUGUGGUUUUCUGCCAGGUAACCUCCAGUGAUGGAGGUUCGCUGGAGCUCACAAAUGUCUCUCCUCAGCGAGGACAGCUUUUUGAACGUUUGAUCUCAAAUCAGGUAGGACUACCCGCUGAACUUAAGCAUAUCAAUAAGCGGAGGA
rnacentral:misc_RNA from 1 species